rnacentral:rRNA from 1 species
UACAGAGGUGGCAAGCGUUGUUCGGAAUUACUGGGCGUAAAGGGCGCGUAGGCGGUCUUCUAAGUCUUGUGUGAAAUCCCUCGGCCCAACUGAGGAACUGCACGGGAUACUGGAUGACUUGAGUUCGGGAGAGGGAAGCGGAAUUCCGGGUGUAGCGGUGAAAUGCGUAGAUAUCUGGAGGAACACCGGUGGCGAAGGCGGCAUCCUGGACCAACACUGACGCUGAGGAGCGAAAGCCAGGGGAGCAAACGGG